rnacentral:rRNA from 1 species
GAUGAACGCUGGCGGCGUGCCUAAUACAUGCAAGUCGAGCGAACAGACGAGGAGCUUGCUCCUCUGACGUUAGCGGCGGACGGGUGAGUAACACGUGGAUAACCUACCUAUAAGACUGGGAUAACUUCGGGAAACCGGAGCUAAUACCGGAUAAUAUAUUGAACCGCAUGGUUCAAUAGUGAAAGACGGUUUUGCUGUCACUUAUAGAUGGAUCAGCGCCGCAUUAGUUAGUUGGUAAGGUAACGGCUUACCAAGGCAACGAUGCGUAGCCGACCUGAGAGGGUGAUCGGACACCCGGGAAGUGAGAAACGGCCCAGACUCCGACGGGAGGCCGCAGUAGGGAAUCUUCCGCGAUGGGCGAAAGCUUGACGGAGCAAAGCCGCGUGAGUGAUGAAGGUGUUCGGAUCGUAAAACUCUGUUAUUAGGGAAGAACAAAUGUGUAAGUACCUAUGCACGUCUUGACGGUACCUAAUCAGAAAGCCACGGCUAACUACGUG